AGAUGCUUCCUCUGGCAACAUUGACUGAGGGUUUAUAGUUUUCAUCCUUGGAAAUAAACCAGGCCAGGUCCUCCUUGAAAUCACAAAUCAAUAAGACUACACUCAAAUAGUGGUUUCAGAAAGAUAGCAAUUUUUCUUUUUCUUUUUUAAUGUGGCAAUUUUACUGACUGCUUAGCAUUCUGUAAUCAGAAAGUAGUUAAAAAGCAUUCAAGAUUAUCCUUGAUAUUUAGAACCCUUUUUCUAACCAUAUAUCCCUCGGGUAUCUGAAGGGCAUAAGCCAUGUCUAUAGGGCGCUUUCUCACUGACCCAGUCAGAGCACUGGUAAUGAGGGAGAGCUCUUCUGAAGACCUUAUGGCCCAUGCCAGCUUAUCUAAUAAAUGAAGUAUUAGUAACAAAGUAAUUGAUUCCUCAGAAUACAAACACAUAAAGUAUGUCAGGCUAGAACGAAUCUCCUUUAUUUGCUUUACAAAAUACAAAGAGUACAGGGUUGAUUUUGGAAAGGAAACCAAUCUAUGAAUAUAAUAUAUAGGUAAUAUAUAUCACCCUCUCACAGAAGGAGAUUGGUGGUUUCCAACUCGACUGGUAAGGUGACGUGAAUGAGAAAGGAAGGACAUCAUCAAGAGACAGUCACUUUGUCUCAAUUUGUGGGACAUAAGCAAGGCCCAAAAGGCAUGAAUCCUGAGAUAAAACAACAAGAUGAAUACUCCCCCUGCAGUCACCAAACAGCAUGUGUUCAGGAAGGAUGUGCUACGUAAGGAACCAUUGAAUCUUCGUGCAAAUCCUCCUCAGUUAUGAUGGCUUCAAUCAGAAUUGGUUCUCUGCAUGAUUGCACCAUGUACAAUCUUCUCUAUGAUUAGACAAUGUAAAAACCAUUGUAGUGAUGGCCAUCAGAUCAUAACCUGCACUCGCUGUGUCUCUGAGAACUUCAGCUUUUCCCUAAUUUGAAAUGCGAAUUCAAUAUGGCACAACAUCCCCCACUACUGUACAUAUUCAAAAAUAUUUCUCCACAUAAUCCCCCCUUACACUCUUAAAUGUCUUAAGCCCUUUAAUGUCUUUACAUUGCUUAUAAGGGGGACAAAUUUUAAAGUGCUUAAUGAGACCUCAUGAUCUCACUUGCCUGUUCUGCCCAUGUCAGCCCAAAUGCCCCUGGUUCUCUGUGCUCCGGUCACAACUAUUGUUCUCUGAGUUCCUCAAUGGAAUGUUUUCCUUCCCACCUUUGGGAAAAUAUGGGCAGUCCCCUUUCCCUGCCGACCACUGCGUUGGUCAGUCAGCUUAUGCUAAUUAUCACAUCUCCAUUUAAAUGUCCCUCUGAUAGCACAUGAUAGCACAUUUGUAUAUGGGAGAAUAGGAUUAAUAAGGAGAUGUUAAGAAACUUCUGGAUUGUGAAGUUAAAUUAUAUACAAAAAAUUAACUGAAAUGGUGAAUUUAUAGUAGACACUGAGAAAAACAGACAAACUAAGGAAAAGACUUUUGCAUUUUUGACACUUUGAGUUGUCCAAGGACAAAUAGCCAGUGAAGCACAAAGUUCAGCCUAGACUGAACUGUAAAGGUGCCAUACCCGACCAAGGCCCUCCAUAAUAUUAAUCAUAAGAACACCAUAUGCAAAUGAAGUCAAUAGUAACUAAGAGUAGAAUAACAUGUGGAUGUGCCACCUCCUCUUUGGGGAAGGCUCAGGAGAGGAAUUUCGGAGGGAUCGGUCAGACGUACAAAGCACAAGUUGACAGAAGAUAGGACUUGGGCUAUAAAUUAAAGAGAUCAAGUGCGCCUGAGAGCCACCACCAAGGUUAUCAUGGUCAGGAUGCCAACAGUGACUCACUUGUUCUGCCUGAGGCAUUGUUUCAUGGAAGGAAAACUCAGGGCUCAGUGAUUCUACAAUAACCUUUAUUACAAAAUCAACCCAUCUUCAAAGAUGUUCAGUGAAACAGCUUAGAUUAUUAGUAU
rnacentral:lncRNA from 10 species